UACGUAGGGGGCUAGCGUUGUCCGGAAUCAUUGGGCGUAAAGAGCGUGUAGGCGGCCCGGUAAGUCCGCUGUGAAAGUCCAGGGCUCAACCCUGGGAUGCGGGUGGAUACUGUCGGGCUCGAGUCCGGAAGAGGCGGAGUGGAAUUCCCGGUGUAGCGGUGAAAUGCGCAGAUAUCGGGAGGAACACCUGUGGCGAAAGCGGCGCACUGGACCACAACUGACGCUGAGGCGCGAAAGCUAGGGGAGCAAACAGG
rnacentral:rRNA from 1 species